AGCAUAUCAAUAAGCGGAGGAAAAGAAACCAACAGGGAUUACCUCAGUAACGGCGAGUGAAGCGGUAACAGCUCAAAUUUGAAAUCUGGCCCUUUCAGGGUCCGAGUUGUAAUUUGUAGAGGAUGUUUCGGGUGUGGCUCCGGUCUAAGUUCCUUGGAACAGGACGUCAUAGAGGGUGAGAAUCCCGUAUGUGACUGGUUGCCUAUGCUCAUGUGAAACUCCUUCGACGAGUCGAGUUGUUUGGGAAUGCAGCUCAAAAUGGGUGGUAAAUUUCAUCUAAAGCUAAAUAUUGGCCAGAGACCGAUAGCGCACAAGUAGAGUGAUCGAAAGAUGAAAAGCACUUUGGAAAGAGAGUUAAACAGUACGUGAAAUUGUUGAAAGGGAAGCGCUUGCAACCAGACUUGCACUUGGUCGAUCAUCCUCUGUUCUCAGUGGUGCACUCGAUCUCGUUCAGGCCAGCAUCGGUUUUGGUGGUUAGAUAAAGGCCUUAGGAAUGUAGCUUCCCUCGGGGAGUGUUAUAGCCUAGGGUGCAAUGUAGCCUACCGGGACCGAGGACCGCGCUUCGGCUAGGAUGCUGGCGUAAUGGUUGUAAGCGACCCGUCUUGAAACACGGACCAAGGAGUCUAACAUCUAUGCGAGUGUUUGGGUGUUAAACCCAUACGCGUAAUGAAAGUGAACGUAGGUGUGAACCCUUAAGGGUGCAACAUCGACCGAUCUUGAUGUCUUCGGAUGGAUUUGAGUAAGAGCAUAGCUGUUGGGACCCGAAAGAUGGUGAACUAUGCCUGAAUAGGGUGAAGCCAGAGGAAACUCUGGUGGAGGCUCGCAGCGGUUCUGACGUGCAAAUCGAUCGUCAAAUUUGGGUAUAGGGGCGAAAGAC
rnacentral:rRNA from 1 species